GACAGAGGGUGCAAACGUUGUUCGGAUUUACUGGGCGUAAAGUGCGUGUAGGCGGCUUUGCAAGUCGGAUGUGAAAUCCCACGGCUCAACCGUGGAAGUGCAUCCGAAACUGCAUCGCUGGAGUCUCGGAGAGGAAGGUGGAAUGCUUGGUGUAGAGGUGAAAUUCGUAGAUAUCAAGCAGAACACCUGCGGCGAAGGCGGCCUUCUGGACGAUGACUGACGCUGAGACGCGAAAGCGUGGGGAGCAAACAGG
rnacentral:rRNA from 1 species